rnacentral:rRNA from 1 species
UAACUUGAGAGUUUGAUCCUGGCUCAGAACGAACGCUGGCGGCACGCUUAACACAUGCAAGUCGAACGAGAUUGUGGAGCUUGCUCCAUGAUUUAGUGGCGCACGGGUGAGUAACACGUGGAUAUCUACUCGUUGGUGACGGACAACCUCGGGAAACUGGGGCUAAUACGUCGUAAGCUCGAGAGAGGAAAGGCCGUAAGGUCGCCGAUGAAUGAGUCUGCGUCUGAUUAGGUUGUUGGUGAGGUAAUAGCUCACCAAGCCAAUGAUCAGUAGCUGGUCUGAGAGGACGGUCAGCCACACUGGAACUGAGAUACGGUCCAGACUCCUACGGGAGGCAGCAGUGGGGAAUAUUGGAC